AAUACGAAUUACACUACACUACAUUACCCUAAUCUCCUAAACACAGCCGCCAUCAAACCAAUUCUCAUCGUCUCCACCAACUUCUCCCACCGAAGAGCUGAUCCAAUUACUCACUAAAACCCUAAAUCAAUUCUUCCUAAACGCACCCAACCACCAUUACAUCUUCUACCUAUCUGUUCUUCCUGCUUUCAUAAGGUACAACACAUCGCAUAUUUCGUCCGCCGUCAUCUUCACCGAGAAGCGAGCGUCACCACAACGGUCACUGACUCUACACCAUGGAUAGUAAUCGUUUUCUCAAUCCUAGGCAGAAACCUACAUCGAUUUCUUCUGCAAUUCGUCUUAGUUUGGUUUCGGUUUUGGUGCUCAUUUUUUUGUUUGACUGCAUUCGUCACUCAAAAUAUGAGGUUAUCAGAUUCGAUUAUUUCUUGAUUUCUUCUUCUACUUUCUUUCACAUGUUCUUCGUUAACUACAAAAUCAAAUAAAGCCCUGAUAUCUAAGAUGGAGCUGUUAGAUACGGUACAUCAAACAGAAGGGCUUCAAGUUUUUUGUGUAUCUCUCUCCUGUCUCAACAUAUGCUCAUUUUGUUUUGUAUAUGUUGCAACAGAAACUUGAUUAAAUCUAAUUUUUGAGCUGGAAUCCUAGGAAAGUCUGAAUUUUUAACGGUAAUGUAUCGUGAUUGAAUCUUAUUAAUUCUAUUUGCAUCUGUUUUUGUUCAGUUUUGUUUCUAAGUUAACAAGAAUAUAUUGUGUAAUGGUUGCAGACUUGCAACUUGAUUGUAUGCCUAUAUUGUGAUGCAAUUCAGGUCCCAUUAGCUUUAAAUAUGGCAAAAAAAAAAGUUUCUACUGGUGGUGUUUUGUAUUUAUAUUCCUCUAAUUUUAAAUUUGUAUGUUAUUUGUAUGCCAGGUAUAUAAUAAGUGUCUGAACAAAACAAGCAAAGUGAUCUCUUUAUGACCAUCAGGCUAUACAACUCACAUUGUCACUUUAACCUCAAAUUGUGGAUAAAUUAAAUGAUAAGAGAGUAUUUGGGCCAACGAUGGAAAUGGACCAUAAGAGAUGAAGAUGAUAAGCCUCGACUUUUUAUUUAGAGGAAGACCCCUAUCUCAUUAAAAGAUAGUGGUGCUGCCUUCAACCAACCAUGCACAAACAUGGAUGUCACCAUUGGAAAUAGAUGAUGGUAUUGUCUUUCAUUUGCUACAUGAAACUUUUAUCAUGUAUCUUUUUCCUUUUGUUUAUUUGGUUUUUAAUCUACUAUAAUACAUACGUUUGUUUAAUUAGGGCCAACACUUCAUAUGAUUGUUUUCUGCAAGAAUGGUAACUCUGUGGUUGACUAAUAGUUGUAAGAACAGUUUCUGGUGAUUUCUUAUACAUAUUCAAAACUUUUCCCUCCUCCUGAAGCUAAAGGUUAGAAAAUGAGUUUUCCCUCCUUCAUAACUAGAUUGAUGAAGAUGUGAUUAUUAUUUAUUUUUCUUAAGAUGUUUGUAUUUAACCCACAACCCCACUUGAUUUUGUUUAAUAAAUGCAAAAUAAUAUUGAUUUUGCUAGACUUUGAAAGGAAGCUAAACCAUUUGCCAAGCAUUGCAACCAAUAGUUUCCACAAAAAGAAAAGUUUGUUGAUAAAAAGCAAUUGGAAACAUUAGACAAGAUAAAUCAGUUGAUUAGGUAGAACACUAUCUUUUCUUGCCAUUAAUCACUCUUUGAUAGCCAAUGCCAUCAGCAAAUUAAGUUAAAUUUCAUAAUUUGAAAUGUAUUCAGGUAAUUUUUCGGUGUACGAUAUUUUGAUUUUUUUGGAAUAGGAUUGCAAAUUUUGGUAUUUAGGUAAUAAAAAUCUGACAAAUGGUAAAAAUAUAUCAACUAUAAUUGUGUGUGUGUGGGGGGGGGGGGUUGUUACUGUGUGUAUGUAUGUUAUUUGUAUCCGCUAGGUGGUCAUACAAGUCGAUUGAGUUGGUCAUGCAUUUGUAUUGUGUGUACAUAAUGUUGAUUGCAUCUUCAUAUAGCCAUUAGCGGUUUUUCAGGUUGAAGACAAAUAAUGGAUCUAUGAUUCACAAAGGUAUAAAAGUUGGUUGCUAUUUGACGCCAUCAGCAUCUUGCAAAGCUUGGAGUCCUAAUUCGUAUAUUUCCUAAACCGAAAUGAAAUCUUAAAAUAUGGACUAAAAUGAAAAAAAAUAUAUACUUUUUUACCUAAACCAAAAAAAAAAAAUCAUCAGCCAUAUGGAGUAAAGUGGAGUUUAAAAGUUUUUUUUAAUCUUGAUUGCUGAUUGAAUUAACCAGUUGUAACCUUGAAUUUUUUUUUUCCGGUGCUACCUAUGGUUCUUUUUUGUAGACAUGGAGGAACUUUGCUUGAUGGAAAGAAUAAAGUUCGCUGCUAUAUUGGUGUUUUUUCUCUCAUGAUGCUUACUGAUGCUAUGAGUUUCAUUUGAUGUUGGUAAUUUCGCAUGGUGAUGUCAUAAUUGACCUUAAGUGUUGUUUUUUUUUUCUAUUGUAAAGCUUUUUGUUUGAUACUCUUUGUAACUUGUUGGAAGUUGGCUUUUAUUUGUUUUAUUAUAGUUUGUCAUAGUUCAAAAAAAAAUAUAACUAGACAUAAUCAUUUGAUUCUAUUGUGUA